rnacentral:rRNA from 1 species
GACGAACGCUGGCGGCGUGCUUAACACAUGCAAGUCGAACGGAAAGGUCCUGCUUUUGUGGGGUGCUCGAGUGGCGAACGGGUGAGUAACAUGUGAGUAACCUGCCCUUGACUUUGGGAUAACUUCAUGAAACUGGGGCUAAUACCGGAUAGGAGUUCCUGCUGCUUGGUGGGGGUUGGAAAGUUUCGGCGGUUGGGGAUGGACCCGCGGCUUAUCAGCUUGUUGGUGGGGUAGUGGCUUACCAAGGCUUUGACGGGUAGCCGGCCUGAGAGGGUGACCGGCCACAUUGGGACUGAGAUGCGGCCCAGACUCCUACGGGAGGCAGCAGUGGAGAAUAUUGCACAAUGGGCGGAAGCCUGAUGCAGCAACGCCGCGUGCGGGAUAACGGCCUUCGGGUUGUAAACCGCAUUCGCCUGUGACGAAGCGAGAGUGACGGUAAUGGGUAAAGAAGCACCGGCUAACUACGUG